rnacentral:rRNA from 1 species
UACGAAGGGGGCUAGCGUUGUUCGGAUUUACUGGGCGUAAAGCGCACGUAGGCGGAUCGUUAAGUGAGGGGUGAAAUCCCAGGGCUCAACCCUGGAACUGCCUUUCAUACUGGCGAUCUCGAGUCCGGAAGAGGUGAGUGGAACUCCUAGUGUAGAGGUGGAAUUCGUAGAUAUUAGGAAGAACACCAGUGGCGAAGGCGGCUCACUGGUCCAUUACUGACGCUGAGGUGCGAAAGCGUGGGGAGCAAACAGG